CCUACGGGAGGCAGCAGUGAGGAAUAUUGGACAAUGAGCGAAAGCUUGAUCCAGCAAUACUACGUGAAUGAUGAAGAUUAAAUAAUUGUAAAGUUCUUUUAUUAGGGAAGAUAAUGACGGUACCUAAUGAAUAAGUCCCGACUAACUUCGUGCCAGCAGUCGCGGUAAAACGGGGGGGACAAGUGUUACUCAGCAUAAUUGGGCGUAAAGGGUGCGUAGGUUGUUUUUUAAGUUAGAAGUAAAAUCCAAGGGCUUAACCUUUGAAAUGCUUCUAAAACUAUAAAACUUGAGUAUAGCAGAGGAUAGUGGUAUUCUUAAUGUAGAGGUGAAAUUCGUAGAUAUUAAGAGGACCUCCAAUAGGCGAAAGCAACUAUCUGGGCUAUUACUGACGCUGAGGCACAAAAGCAUGGGGAGCAAACAGGAUUAGAUACCCCAGUAGU
rnacentral:rRNA from 1 species